UCCUUCUUACUGGAGAAUAGGAUGUGGGGGAGGAGUUUGAAAAGUCCGUUUCCUGGGGGCUGGAGUGGUCUAUAUAGUUAGAAACAAAGUCUGGUUUUUGGACCUCGUGUUUUACUGUGAGACUGCAGCCUUUCUCACAUGGGCACUGGCUCAUGGCGCAUUUUUUCACUCCUGUGAGACCAAGGAGUUCACAGUUGGUGCAUCACAAAGAAAACACAUUUCUUCUCACAGGAAAAUGACCACACAAAAUUUACUUUAGCUGUGCAUAGCCUGUGGAUUUCCCCGUUUCCUUGUUUUGCUUUUUCUGAGGUGAACGUUAUGCGAGAGAUUUGGUUGCACAGAGGCCCUUUUCAUCAACCUCGUUUAGCUUUCUCCCUGCAGAACAGCGUUGUACUGUACUGCAGGAACCAAGUGGCAGGACCCUGCACCGGGGUCACCAGCAUCAGCUGACCUGUGAGUCGGUCGGAGCGCUGGACGGUGAAGUGGCGACGGGCUUGCUUUCCGCCCAGCAAAGAGAAGCGGAGGGUGUCACCUAUUUGGCGCAGUGCUGAGACUCUGAACAUGACUCGAGGCGCCGACAGGUUGGACACCACAGCCAUGUAAUG